rnacentral:rRNA from 1 species
UCCUACGGGAGGCAGCAGUGGGGAAUAUUGCCCAAUGGGGGAAACCCUGAUGCAGCGACGCCGCGUGAGUGAAGAAGUAUUUCGGUAUGUAAAGCUCUAUCAGCAGGGAAGAAAAUGACGGUACCUGACUAAGAAGCCCCGGCUAACUACGUGCCAGCAGCCGCGGUACUACGUAGGGGGCAAGCGUUAUCCGGAUUUACUGGGGGUAAAGGGGGCGCAGACGGUAGCGCAAGCCAGGAGUGAAAGCCCGGGGCCCAACCCCGGGCGUGCUC